AGCGAACGUUAGCGGCGGGCCUAACACAUGCAAGUCGAGCGAGAAAGUGGCUUCGGCCAUCAGUAAAGCGGCGGACGGGUGAGUAACACGUAGGUAAUCUUCCCUUGAGCGGGGGGACAGCGUUUCGAAAGGAACGCUAAUACCGCAUAAGUUUUCUGAGCCUCCGGGUUUGGGAAGGAAAGCCAGGUCGCAAGAUCCGGCACUCGAGGAGGAGCCUGCGUCGCAUCAGCUAGUUGGGGGGUAAUGGCCUACCAAGGCGAAGACGCGUAGCUGGUCUGAGAGGAUGAUCAGCCACACUGGGACUGAGACACGGCCCAGACUCC
rnacentral:rRNA from 1 species